CUCUCGUUUCUUUUCUCUACGGUCACGAGCCGCCGCCGCAAGGGCCUGGCCGCCGGCGCCCCUGAUACGCACGCCCGGCCGGGAUGUCGGCUCCGCGUGCACCGCGGGCUGCGCGCGGGCCUUGGGGCUGCUGCCGCCGGCCGCACACACGAGCGCCGCGCGCUGCGCGUCGGGCCACCGGCCGCAGCCACGGGCCGCGCGACCUCCAUCAUGCGCAGACCCGAGGCCGCCUCCUCACGCGUGCGUGCCGCGCGGUCCAUGCCGGUGGGCCCAGCCACCGCCUGCGCCUCGCAGCUGUCUGCGUGCGGGAGCAGCGUCGCCUGAGUCAUGGCUCUGUUGGCCGCGUGUCCCUUGCUACUGCCGCAUCUGAUGAGCCGCCUCCUCAUGGCGUGCGCGCGGCUAGGGGCAAGGCAGCGUGCCUCGGCGGCCGGUCUUGGCCGUGCGCCGCGCAGGGUCCCUCGCCGGUGGGUGCGUGCAUACUCAUCGCGCGCACGGCCGUCGAUGGCUCCUCGCGGUGCAACUGGUCAGACCAGUGCACUCCUGAUGCGCACGACUGGUGAGUUUGAGAUCUCGAUCGAUGCAAUCUGCAAACACCAUCUAUCUGAAGUACGUACUUUCGUCUCUCUUCUAGUAGUAGUUGCUUGUGAUAUGCAAUGCAAAAAAACCUCUCGCCCGGCUGCUAGGCACUUUCUGAAGUAAGUGGUCCGUCAAUUAGCCUUUGAGAUCCUCCCGACCCGCUUUUUCGCAAGAUUUAUCCGUUAUCAUCGAUCAAGCCAUGAGCUAACAUGAUCAUCAAUAUAUGUCGCGAUGAUCAUAUAUUACCAAAUAAUAAAAAAUCUCCAAUCAGAAGUCAUAUAUUGCUUGAGAGUAUAAAAAAGAUUCUUCAGUGUUCAAAUCUCUGAUCUCCAGCUUCCCAUUAUUUAACCAAAGGCUGUGAUUUUUUUUUGCGAGAAAAAGGUUGUGAUUUAACAUAGUACAUCAACGUGUUCUGUUAAACCUUGUUUUUCAUAUUGAAAAAUUUCUAACCUACAAGUGAAUUAUGUUUUCAAGAGUGUGUACCAUCUUGCCAAGAGAACCUAAUCUAUGCAUUUGACACAUCAAUUAUAAGAUGAUCACCAUUAUCUGUGUAUUGUCACUUAUUAGUUUUGUGAAUUUCGAAGCUAGCUUCAAAUGAUACAUAUCAAUUUCAAUAUGACACAAAAUUAUAUAUCUAAGUUCUUUCUCAACUAGCUAGUAACCAAAUUCAGAUAAAGGCGGCAUAAGUACUUUAUUUGUGAUUUUUUAGUUAACUUUAUUUGGCUGAUCACAGCAAGUAUUUUAAUUUCUGUAACAAUUUAAAUUUCAGGCAAAAAAUUUUCAGGGAAUUUUUUUCGAAUAGUAGAAUUUUGUACUGUGCCAAUGAAACUUCAAUUGGGGCUCCAAUGUUAAUUUGCCGAGUAAUUAGUUGUUUCCAAUAUGAGCCAAUUAAGGACUGAAACCAUAAAAAACAUGAAAUUAUGGAAAUGUCUUUUAUAUAACAAAUUAGCUAGGUCAUACGAAAUAUAUACUGCCCUACACAACACAUCUUGAUCAUAUCCUUCUCUUUUGGUAUCCAUGCAAAACUAAAAUCCAUAAGUUUCUUUUUAAUUCCUAAAACAGUUUUUAUACACUAUUUGUUUAGAAAGCAUUGCGGUUCCAUUUGAAAAAAAAGAGCUUAACUAUUGCAUUUAUUACAAAAUGCAUGUGUAAAAAAUUAUAAGAUUUCGAAACUAAUUUAUUUGGUAGCCACAUAUACAUAUAAAAAAUAAAAAUUGGAGCUUAAAUAUCACAUGUUAGAACGCACGCGUGUGUGUGUGUAGAGAGAGAGAGAGAGAGAGAGAGAGAGAGAGACGUCCACCUUAUCCUCGGUCUUUAGACAAUACAUGCAUGGAAAUUCCUAACAGGUCAAGGGCAUGUAGACAGUUCCGUAUGCAGAUGUGUUUUUAUUAGUGUUGGUCACCGAGGUCUGAGAACAAGCUAGAUGGGGUAGGGUCACAUGAUAUUGUACGACCAGUAAUGCAAAACUCCUAAAUUUAUCGUGGAAAAACCUAGAUUUAAACCACUGUUCUUGCACAUGCUUGUGUCGUCUUAUUCAUAGGUAUAUUGCAUUUUUGGAGGAUUUUUCAAUUUUCAUGAUCAAAGUGUUUCUAUGAUGGUGGACGGAAUUAAAGAUCAUGUUGAGUGUUGUAGUUCACCGCGGCAUGAUGUUAUUUCAUUAUUCUGCCAUCCUAGUUAUGUUGAGGUCAGGAGGAUAUCCUGCUGCAAUAUUAUCACUGCACCUUGAUCUAAUUUUCUUGCAUCAAUAAAAUUUCCUUUAUCUAAACAUUAAAGACCACAAUCACACUAGGAAUCCGCUAGCUAUUUAGAGUCCGUCAUUAUUUAAAAGAAGAUACAAUAGAACCUAGAGUCUAGAUGCACGUAAAUGGAAUAAACAGAAAUACCCGAAAGAAAAAGGACAGAAAUGUUUCCAACCCUCAAUUUGGUACUAGAAUAUAUUGCUGCUGACAUCACAAAUAGUGAAUCAGUAAAAGAAUGUAUCUAUACUUGGAUAAACAAAAGGUUCCAUUGCUACUUCUUGAUAACUGGAGUCCCGUAGUAGUGCACCAUGUAGUUUUGUGUACUCUUUCUUAUUUAGCUCUCCAAUUUGGCGAAUGAAGCAUUUGAUAAAUGUUCUGAAAGAUUACUGUUAGAUCUUGUUGAUUUAUGACAAAUCCUUCACAAGUGGGUGUAUGACACUACUACAUAUCUUUUCUCUAAGGUACAUGGUUGAGUGGAGAUGACUCGUUGUAAAUUAAAUCGAUCUCUUGUGCAUUGUCACCUGAAUUGGUUUUUGUAGGGUUUCUUUUUUUUAGAAGCGGUGAUGAUCUUCAGUAUCCCAUAUUCUUGUGGUUUUGAUCUACUUGUUGUUAUGCUUAUCUAGCAAAGUUGAUAUUCUUUAAUAUUGAGUUAAUCAUUGAACAUGUUCCCAUUGGACCAAGUCUACAUGACUUGGAGUUCAUAUGUUCCCAGCAUAUUCGGCCAAAUACACAUAUAUAUGGACAAAUGCAUUGCAAGGUCAGCUCUCUAUGUGAAGCUUCAAGUAGUUAGGAAACUAUUCUUUUGUAAAUACUAGGCAUGAGGUUUCUAGUGAGACCGUUUAAUCUUUCGUAUAAACAAGAAAUUCCUGAGACAGCCUCUGUUAUACUUGCUUUUGGGGAAAUGAGAGAGAGAAAAUAACAAGGA